rnacentral:lncRNA from 1 species
UGUUUAUUAAAAAAAAUCAAAAGUGUCCAUAAUGACAAAAAGUUUUUUUUAUUUUUUAAGAGAAAGGUAGCAUGCUAUCCGUUUCGUUUAUUUCGUUGAGAAAUAAAUUUAGCUGAAAAUAUGCAUCAACUAGGAUUCGAAUUUGGGUCUCGAAUACCAACCACCAAAUCCUUUUGCCACUUGUGCUAGGGACGGUCAGUAUAAUGACAAAAAGUUAAAAAAGGAUUUGUACCAUAUAGAUAGAAUAUCGGAUAAUGUGAAGAUUUUAAUAUAAACUUCUUCUAAGCCCCAUUCGUAUGUAGGCCAUUUUGAAAUUGAUUCUUCAGCUUUUCUUUUUGGAAACACCCCUCAACUUUUUAGGGUGUUUUUUCUAAUCUAAGUUAGAUAACUAAAUUACUAACUCUAUUAACUAUUAAAAUCAUUAAUAUUAACAAAUUAUGGAAAUAACCGACCGUCCCUAGUGCAAGUGGCAAAAGGCUUCGUGGUUGGUAUUCGAGACCCAAGUUCGAAUCCUAGUUGAUUCACAUUUCCAGCUAAGUUUAUUUCUAAAUGAAAUAAACGAAACGGGUAGCAUGCUACCUUUCUCUCAAAAAAAAAAAAAAAAAAA